GUGAUUACAUUAGUUCCUGACCAAACAUAACAUCGACAUAUACCUUCAACUAUUUUUAUCACCUUAGCAAGGAUGAUAAACAGUUGUGCCCAGAAAGCUUGAAUCCCAAAUAGCACGCUUUGAACUAAUUGGACCCUACCAACAUGGGAUAGCUUCCUUGCAGUCCAUGAAAAGAUUCUUGCUGUAAUUUAGUCUAUUUGAGUCUGCCACUGCAUGAUACUCAUCUACUUUGUAGACAAAGGAACCCCAAGAUAUUUGGAAGGAAUGUCUCCAGCAAUGAAUCCCAGAUGAAGUAGAAUCUUUUGUUGCUAUGAUGUUAUGACUCCUCCAAACUACACUGCACUUUUGUUCUGAUUUGCUUGCAAGUCAGAUACUUAAGUGAACUGCAGGAACUUUUGGUAUAUUGUAUUCACUGAUACAAUAUCACCUCUAGCAAAGAGCAAUAAGUCAUCAACAAAAUACAGGAUAUAAGCCUAAUAAGGUAGCCGUUAAAAACUUAGUACUAAGUACUUGACAAUGUGCUUGAAAGCGAAGGAGGAAACUUUCCAGGGGGACAGAGCCAUCUGUGUAUCACUUUGGAAUCAUUUGAGUCUUAUAUAUUAUAGUUGAGUUUAUCAUUUUCCUAUCACCUAAUGUAAGACAACAGUUUUAUUACGUAUUUACGUUCUAUCGCUAUUAUUUCAGAACAAAAUUUGGUUCUCCCGUCUAAAUAGAAAGAUCAUCUGAGAACAGA